rnacentral:rRNA from 1 species
AGUGAACGCUGGCGGUAGGCCUAACACAUGCAAGUCGAACGGCAGCACAGUAAGAGCUUGCUCUUACGGGUGGCGAGUGGCGGACGGGUGAGGAAUACAUCGGAAUCUACUUUUUCGUGGGGGAUAACGUAGGGAAACUUACGCUAAUACCGCAUACGACCUACGGGUGAAAGCAGGGGAUCUUCGGACCUUGCGCGAUUGAAUGAGCCGAUGUCGGAUUAGCUAGUUGGCGGGGUAAAGGCCCACCAAGGCGACGAUCCGUAGCUGGUCUGAGAGGAUGAUCAGCCACACUGGAGCUGAGACACGGUCCAGACUCCUACGGGAGGCCGCAGUGGGGAAUAUUGCACAAUGGGCGCAAGCCUGAUCCAGCCAUACCGCGUGAGUGAAGAAGGCCUUCGGGUUGUAAAGCCCUUUUGUUGGGAAAGAAAAGCAGCAGGUUAAUACCCCGCUGUUCUGACGGUACCCAAAGAAUAAGCACCGGCUAACUUCGUG